rnacentral:tRNA from 1 species
AAAUAUGAUUAUAUAGGGCUUCUAACUUUAGAAAGUAAUUAGGUUUACCAUAUUUU